AGGAUUAACGCUGGCGGCGUGCCUAACACAUGCAAGUCGAACGAGGUAGCAAUACCUAGUGGCAGACGGGUGAGUAGCGCGUGGUCAACCUACCGUUGAGUGGGGGAUAACUAGCCGAAAGGUUAGCUAAUACCGCAUACGUCUCCGAGGGGCAUCCCUUGGUGAUAAAAGGAGCAAUCCGCUCGAUGACGGGACCGCGUCCCAUUAGCUAGUUGGUGGGGUAACGGCCUACCAAGGCAUCGAUGGGUAGCUGGUUUGAGAGAGCGACCAGCCACACUGGGACUGAGAUACGGCCCAGACUCCUACGGGAGGCAGCAGUGAGGAAUUUUCCGCAAUGGGCGAAAGCCUGACGGAGCGACGCCGCGUGUGGGAAGAAGGCCUUCGGGUCGUAACCACUGUCGAAGGGGAAGAUAAUGACGGUACCCUUGGAGGAAGCCCGGCUAACUACGCGCCAGCAGCCGC
rnacentral:rRNA from 1 species